rnacentral:rRNA from 1 species
AGCGAACGCUGGCGGCAGGCCUAACACAUGCAAGUCGAACGAAGCCUUCGGGCUUAGUGGCGGACGGGUGAGUAACACGUGGGAACGUACCUUUUGGUUCGGAACAACUCAGGGAAACUUGAGCUAAUACCGGAUGAGCCCUUAGGGGGAAAGAUUUAUCGCCGAAAGAGCGGCCCGCGUUAGAUUAGCUAGUUGGUGAGGUAAAGGCUCACCAAGGCAACGAUCUAUAGCUGGUCUGAGAGGAUGAUCAGCCACACUGGGACUGAGACACGGCCCAGACUCCUACGGGAGGCAGCAGUGGGGAAUCUUGCGCAAUGGGCGAAAGCCUGACGCAGCCAUGCCGCGUGAAUGAUGAAGUUCUUAGGAUUGUAAAAUUCUUUUACCAGGGACGAUAAUGACGGUACCUGGAGAAAAAGCCCCGGCUAACUUCGUGCCAGCAGCCGCCGUAA